UGUCGUAUGGUCAAUGGCCGCUUUAGCGUC
rnacentral:sRNA from 1 species